rnacentral:tRNA from 1 species
GCCCCCCGCUUACACCGGGAAAAUGUCCGUGAAACCCAGACCAUUUUGA